GUCCCGUUCGUCUAGAGGCCUAGGACACCGCCCUUUCACGGCGGUAACACGGGUUCGAAUCCCGUACGGGACGCCA
rnacentral:tRNA from 19 species